UCGCGUCCUUUGAGCAGUCCCGGGGAGACCCACCCCCAACAACCAGCGUGUGAGGGCAGAAAGCGUUAGAGCGGCGUGCCCCCGAAUGCCCAGCCCAUUGCUUCAAAAGAUUGAUGAUUCACGAAUUCGCAAUUCAGCAUUACUUAUCGCAUUUCGUGCUUCUUCAUGAUGCGAAACCAAGAGAUCCAUUGUGAAAGUUUGACAAUUUUCAUAGUACUCAGACAGCCUUUCUCAUCAGUUCACAAGCGCUUCGCGGGGCCGGACAGGCGUCCCCCGCGACCAGGAGCCCCAGGGGCCCGCCAAAGCAACAGUGUAGAGAGACAAGGGGAGGUGGGCCACGAGGGCCCGCACUCGGUAAUGAUCCUCCGUAGGUGAACCUGCUGAAGGAUCAUUACCGAGUGCGGGCCCUCGUGGCCCAACCUCCCACCCUUGUCUCUCUACACCUGUUGCUUUGGCGGGCCCACUGGGGCUCCCUGGUCGCCGGGGGACGCCUGUCCCCGGGCCCGCGCCCGCCGAAGCGCUUCGUGAACCCUGAUGAAGAAGGGCUGUCUGAGUACUAUGAAAAUUGUCAAAACUUUCAACAAUGGAUCUCUUGGUUCCGGCAUCGAUGAAGAACGCAGCGAAAUGCGAUAAGUAAUGUGAAUUGCAGAAUUCCGUGAAUCAUCGAAUCUUUGAACGCACAUUGCGCCCCCUGGCAUUCCGGGGGGCAUGCCUGUCCGAGCGUCAUUUCUGCCCUCAAGCACGGCUUGUGUGUUGGGUGUGGUCCCCCCGGGGACCUGCCCGAAAGGCAGCGGCGACGUCCGUCUGGUCCUCGAGCGUAUGGGGCUCUGUCACUCGCUCGGGAGGGACCUGCGGGGGUUGGUCACCACCACAUUUUCUAUUAUGGUGACCUCGGAUCAGGUAGGAGUACCGGGGAUCAA
rnacentral:rRNA from 1 species